GUUACAUCAUAAAAAGCUAACGGCUCCCUCUAAGCCCGGGUUCAAAGUCUCCCCCCCCUCCUCCCGGCACACACAUACCCGGGAAGAAAGCUGGAGCUGUCGCUCCUCUGCCAGCCCUCGUUGUGCCUUCCCUUUGUGCGAGCCCCCGCUAGCUAAGCAUGCAGCGAAGGAGGGAGGAUGCAAAGGCGGCCCGGGGGGAAUAAGCGCUCCCGCAUGCAGCCAGCCCUGAGAUAAAGCUACGGUUUGUCACCGUCCUCGGCAGCUAAAGAUCUCCGCACGCUCGUAGUCUGUGCAGCUCCUCAGUCAACUGAAACCACUCGUUCAAGACAGCAACAAUCCAGAUAUACUAGCAAGUCAUAAAACUGAACAAAAGCCGACAAACCUUAGAGCACCAUCGCUAUAUGGCCCAGACAAAUUACGACCGUCUAGGGGGAACCGUUGUGUGCUUAUCCCGUGUUACCAACGGUAACGCUAUUAAUCGACCAACAACAACAAAAAAAUCACUAAUUCCACAUCUUUAAGCAAAACUACGUUACGUAAAUAUCUACAACCAGAAAGAGAGAGAGAAAUUCAGAGCUUGAAAGAGCGAAGCGGGCCCGGGAAAGGCUGCAGGAACCGAGGAGGCUCACACAUGGCCCUCAGCGUUAGCGUGGCUCUCUUCCGCUCCCCCCGCAGCCCCGAAGCAGCUAUUAAGAGUUUAAGGACAUACUGAGAACGUCUAAAAUCGUUAAUCCGUACAGGUGCGGAUGACUACAGCCUAGGAAAAUGAUACUGGCUCUUUAAACCAUCAAGAUGUGUUUAUAGGUUCAUCAAGAGAAAUUAAAGUUGGCUGUGAGCUCCCGAAUCCUAUUCUCUCUGUUCAUUUUCUUCAGUUUCAUUCUGCGGUUCUGAAACCAG
rnacentral:lncRNA from 1 species